rnacentral:rRNA from 1 species
AGUUGGUGAGGUAACGGCUCACCAAGCCUAUGACGGGUAGCUGGCCUCAUGAGGGUGGUCAGCCAGAGGGGGACUGAGACACGGNCCCCACUCCUACGGGAGGCAGCAAUUAGGAAUAGUCGGCAAUGGGCGAAAGCCUGACCGCGCAAUGCCGCGUGUAGGAAGACGCUCUAACGAGUGUAAACUACUGUGGCGAGGGAAGAAGUCUUCGGAUUGACGGUACCUCGCUAGAAAGGGGCCGCUAACUGCGUGCCAGAAGCGUCGGUAAGACGUGGGCCCCGAGCGUUAUCCGGUGUUACUGGGCGUAAAGAGUCGUGUAGGCGGUUCGAAAAGUUACCUUUUAAAUCCCAAUGCUCAACAUUGGAACUGGAGGUAAUACUCUCGAACUAGAGUUUUCUACAGGGUGAAUGGAACUGUGGGAGGAGUAGUGAAAUGCGUUGAUCCCCACGGGAACACCAGUGGCGAAGGCGGUUCACUGGUAGAAGACUGACGCUGAGACACGAAAGCUAGGGUAUCGAAGCAGAUUAGAGACCUGCGUAGUCCUAGCCGUAAACGCAUGCUUGCUAGCUGCAUCUCCGCCCCUUCGGGGGUUAGGUGUGGCGAAGGUAACCCGUUAAGCAAGCCGCCUGGGGAUUACGGUCGCAAGACUAAAACUCAAAGGAAUUGGCGGGGAGGCACACAACCAGUGGAACAUGUGGUUUAAUUCGAAACAAACCGAAGAACCUCACCUGGGUUUGACAUGUAGCUGCUCAUCCUAUGAAAGUAGGACUCCUUCGAGGGUGCUACACAGGUGCUGCAUGGCUGUCGUCAGUUCGUUCCGUGAGGAGUGCCCUUAAGUGGGACAACGAACGCAACCCCCAUCGUAUGUU